AGUUCACUCUCAAUAGAAGAAUAAUUAGAUGGGUUAAGUAGAAGCUCAUGGGCCUGGUGGUCCUCAUCACCAUUAUAUGUUUCAAACAUUGGAAGGUACCCUUUGUAAGCAAAACCUAGACAACGUAAUGCAUUGGUUGACAUGUCAUGAAGGCUUUGUAAAAUAAGCUCUCUUGAAUAUUGANNAACUGAGCCAUCAAGCAGCUGAACAUAUGAGCUUCUCUCCAAUACGUUUUCUACUGCACCCUUCACUAGCAGUGAUUUUUUUCCUGUGCUGGAUUUAACAAUAACUCCCAUGGAUUUCCGAUACCGAUCGAACUCAAGAGUUGCAAUGCGCUGAUCCAUUUUAUUCCAUAGUUGACUGACAGCAACGUAGAACAUCCCCAUGACAUGAAGAUGAUUCAUUAAGUCCACCAGUAAAUCCCAUUUUCUCAACAAGUACCUUUAAGGCAGCCUCUGUAGGCAUUCCACUAGCAAUAUAAUGGUGACCAGAUCGCUCCACACCUGCAUCAUUGCAGACUGCAGCAAUCUUUGCGAUCAUCUGAAG
rnacentral:misc_RNA from 1 species